rnacentral:lncRNA from 1 species
ACCGGUGCCACAAUAGUACUAUAUCGGUACAGUAUGGUAUGAAGUCUUUUCGACAUACCAAAUGCCGGUACGCCUUCCGUACCAGAUACCGGUACCGAACAAGUAUAGUAUGGUAUACUCCAUACCGCCUGGUUCAGGACAGUAUGACGAACUAUGUUUAAAACUAUCCUUAAUUGAUGGAAUACCUAUACCAACUACAAUGUACUAAUUCCUCAUUAAUCCUUUGUAGUUCUACCACAUGGCUACCUUUGCAUUUCUCAUAUUUGUUGUACUCAUCUUGCAUCCAAAAACUCUUUUUGAGCAGCAAUGGAAAUACACAACAUUGUGCGCUUUAGUCAUUUUCCCUGAAACUACUUUGCAUGCCAGGAUCAUAUAACACCUAAAGCACCUCCCUACUAACAAAGUCAGCUCCAGUCCUAAAAUAUAUGUCUCCACCAAUAUCUCCAUCCUUUUGUACAAUAGGUCCAAGAUGACAGCCAUAUACUCUAUUAUUUUCUAACCACCAGCUUUGCUUGCAUCAUUUACUCAUCUUUAUUAA